rnacentral:rRNA from 1 species
AGUGUAAAAGACUACCAAGGCUAUGACGGAUAGCGGGUGUGAGAGCACGACCCGCCUCACUGGGACUGAGACACUGCCCAGACACCUACGGGUGGCUGCAGUCAAGAAUAUUCCUCAAUGGACGAAAGUCUGAAGGAGCGACGCCGCGUGUAUGAAGACGCCCCUCGGGGUGUAAAGUACUUUUAUUAGGGAUGAAUCAAUGACCGUACCUAAUGAAUAAGGGGCUGCUAACCUCGUGCCAGCAGCAGCGGUAAUACGAGGGCCCCAAGCAUUAUCCGGAUUUAUUGGGCGUAAAGCGUCCGUAGGCGGUUUGUCGCAUCUCCUGUUAAAUCCUCUGGCUUAACCAGGGGGCUGCGGGAGAGAUGGAUAAACUAGAGACUGGAAGAGGCAAGCGGAAUUGCUGGUGUAGGGGUUAAAUCCGUUAAUAUCAGCAGGAACACUCAAUGCGAAGGCAGAUUGCUGGGACAGUUCUGACGUUCAGGGACGAAAGCGUGGGGAGCGAAUGGGAUUAGAUACCCCAGUAGUCCACGCCGUAAACGAUGGAUGCUAAGCAUUGGAAGUAUCGACCCUUUCAGUGCUGUUAAUUUAAGGUAACCCGUUAAGUAUCCCGCCUGGGGAGUACGAGCGCAAGCUUAAAACUCAAAGGAAUAGACGGGGACCCGCACAAGCGGUGGAGCAUGUGGUUUAAUUCGACGAUAAGCGAGGAACCUCACCAAGGUUUGACAUCUAGCUGCAGACUCCUGGAAACAGGAGAGCCUUCGAGGGUGCUAGACAGAUGCUGCAUGGUUGUCGUCAGCUCGUGUCGUGAGAUGUACCGUUAAGUCGGAAAAC